AAGUUAGCCGUUACUCUUUCUCCAAUGGUAAGAGAUACAGACCCUCUUAAGUGGACUGCGAAGCCCAGAUAGCAAGCACUUUUGGGCCGAUUCCGGCAGAAAAGCGGCACUGUCGGCUCACUGUCGACGUCGAUGAAAAGAUUAUGGGCCAUAACUCUGCCGACUGUACACAACGCAUCUGGCUGACAGACAGCGUUUUCUUUAUGGGCCGGUCUCGGCUGAAAUAGUUGUACUCGCGGAAGGUCCAUAUAACUCGGUAUAGAUCUAUCGGCCCGAGUUCGUUUCGUAAUAGGCGGGCCCCCAAAUAUCAAGCACUUUUGGGCCGAUUCAGGUUUAAGCGCGCCAACAUCGACUCAAUUUCAGAGUCUGUGAAAAGAUAAUGGGCCAGAGCCGUGUGGACUGUACGGUUGACAGACGGCUUUUUCUGAACGGGCCAAUCACGACUGAAAGCUCGUUAUCUGUUUUCGGACCGAGUUCGUUUGUCACGGGCGGGCCACUGCUGGAGUUAAGGAAUUCAGCCGCCUGAAAAAAAAAGAGUUUUGGCGGUUAAAUCCUGAGGAGAAUCCUGCAGUCAACAUUUCAUGAUCGAGAGAAAGGAUCAGCUGCAAAACGCUGCAGUUCAGAGAAACCCUGCUGAAAUGGAGGAUGAGGGGACCAUGAAGAGGUGGCUGCAACUGGCAGCAAAUUGAAAGGGCGGAUGCAUGAACAGAUGGUUGAGAUGACCACAACAGCCCUGAAUGUCAGCAGAGAACAUGACAACUAAACAAGCUCUGGAGACAGAUCCGCUGUGAAGACCUCGUCGACAACAGUCUACAGCACAGAUCUUCAGCAAAGAUCACGAGAACCAGACGAGACCUCUGCAAAGCCACUUCAACUUCUCUUCCCUCUACAUAUGCCAUUGUGCUGUGUUUGAUCCUCAAGCUGAAUGAUAUCAGUCCACAAUCUAACUUCUGAUGCAGCUGAAUCAUAAUCACACUGUAUUUGUUUGGCCAGAGGAAAACUGGCCCUCGACUGAGCCUGGUUCCUCCCAGGGUUUUUUCUUCAUUCUGUCAUCUGAUGGAGUUUGGGUUCUUGUCACUAUCGCCUCUGGCUUGCAUAGUUGGACACCUACUUUUCAAUAAUAUUGAUCUGACUGCAUUGACACUAUUGGAUGAGAACUCAACAGAGCUGGAUUAUGACAUUACUGUUUUCUGCAGAACUACUUUAUAGUUGAAUUGAACUCAUUGAACUGAACUGAAACAACACUGAAAUGACUUCAGCUGAACAAUCACACUGUCUUUUGCUCCAUUACAGUAUUUAAUUCUGUUUGCAUAAUUGAAUUAUUAUUUUCCAGUUUAUCACUGUAAAGCUUCUUUGAAACAAACUGUAAUGUAGGUUAUAAAGCACUAUGUGAAGGUGACUUAACUUUUUGCUUUUUGAAAAUUAUUGCUAAAAGAUUUUUUAUGUGUAAGAAAGGAUGUUGUUUCUCCAUUUAAUAUACAGUAAAUAAUUAACUUAGUAUUUAGUGGUUUAAAAUGUAUGUUGUUAAUAAAUGUUUAUAGUGUAUUCAUUGUUAAUACUUAUAGUGUAUUUGUUAAUUUUAUAAUAAAAUGUCUUCAUCUUUU